rnacentral:rRNA from 1 species
AAAGGAAUAGACGGGGACCCGCACAAGCAGUGGAGCAUGUGGUUUAAUUCGAAGCAACGCGAAGAACCUUACCAAGGCUUGACAUCCCGGUGACCGGUAUAGAGAUAUACCUUUUCUUCUGAACACCGGUGACAGGUGGUGCAUGGUUGUCGUCAGCUCGUGUCGUGAGAUGUUGGGUUAAGUCCCGCAACGAGCGCAACCCUUAUUGUUAGUUGCCAUCAUUAAGUUGGGCACUCUAGCGAGACUGCCGGUGAUAAAUCGGAGGAAGGUGGGGACGACGUCAAAUCAUCAUGCCCCUUAUGUCUUGGGCUACACACGUGCUACAAUGGCUGUAAACAAAGGGCAGCAAGCCAGUGAUGGUAAGCAAAUCCCAAAAGACAGUCCCAGUUCGGAUUGUAGGCUGCAACUCGCCUACAUGAAGUCGGAAUUGCUAGUAAUCGCAGGUCAGCAUACUGCGGUGAAUACGUUCCCGGGUCUUGUACACACCGCCCGU